rnacentral:rRNA from 1 species
GGGGAAUAUUGGGCAAUGGAGGCAACUCUGACCCAGCCAUGCCGCGUGGGUGACGAAGGUCUUCGGAUUGUAAAGCCCUUUCGGCGGGGACGAUGAUGACGGUACCCGCAGAAGAAGCCCCGGCUAACUUCGUGCCAGCAGCCGCGGUAAUACGAAGGGGGCUAGCGUUGUUCGGAAUUACUGGGCGUAAAGGGCGUGUAGGCGGCCCGUUAAGACAGGUGUGAAAUUCCUGGGCUCAACCCAGGACGUGCGCCUGUGACUGGCGGGCUUGAGUCCGGGAGAGGAUGGUGGAACUCCCAGUGUAGAGGUGAAAUUCGUAGAUAUUGGGAAGAACACCCGUGGCGAAGGCGGCCAUCUGGACCGGUACUGACGCUAAGGCGCGACAGCGUGGGGAGCAAAC